rnacentral:rRNA from 1 species
CCCUUGCACUCACCGCCCGUCACAUCACUUGAAUCUGUUGCUCCCGAAGUCGCUGGCCUAACCGUAAGGAGGGCGGUUACCACGGUGCGUUUCGUGACUGGGGUUAA